GAGCUUGCUCUUAUGAAGUUAGCGGCGGACGGGUGAGUAACACGUGGGUAACCUGCCCAUAAGACUGGGAUAACUCCGGGAAACCGGGGCUAAUACCGGAUAAUAUUUUGAACUGCAUGGUUCGAAAUUGAAAGGCGGCUUCGGCUGUCACUUAUGGAUGGACCCGCGUCGCAUUAGCUAGUUGGUGAGGUAACGGCUCACCAAGGCAACGAUGCGUAGCCGACCUGAGAGGGUGAUCGGCCACACUGGGACUGAGACACGGCCCAGACUCCUACGGGAGGCAGCAGUAGGGAAUCUUCCGCAAUGGACGAAAGUCUGACGGAGCAACGCCGCGUGAGUGAUGAAGGCUUUCGGGUCGUAAAACUCUGUUGUUAGGGAAGAACAAGUGCUAGUUGAAUAAGCUGGCACCUUGACGGUACCUAACCAGAAAGCCACGGCUAACUACGUGCCAGCAGCCGCGGUAAUACGUAGGUGGCAAGCGUUAUCCGGAAUUAUUGGGCGUAAAGCGCGCGCAGGUGGUUUCUUAAGUCUGAUGUGAAAGCCCACGGCUCAACCGUGGAGGGUCAUUGGAAACUGGGAGACUUGAGUGCAGAAGAGGAAAGUGGAAUUCCAUGUGUAGCGGUGAAAUGCGUAGAGAUAUGGAGGAACACCAGUGGCGAAGGCGACUUUCUGGUCUGUAACUGACACUG
rnacentral:rRNA from 1 species